GUGAAUAUAAAGAAAAAUUUAUACCAGGAAGCACGACAAGAAAUGCAUUAAUUCUAGUUCUAAGAGAAACAAAUAAUAAGAAAAUAGUGAACACACAAUCAUGCAACAGUAGACUUGGAACCAGGAAGCAGGAGGGAAAUACAUUGAUUUUAGUAAAGAAAAGAAACAUUUUUUAAGAUAUAUAUAAAGUGCAUCACGUGAAAUAUAUAUAGGAUACUGAUGAAUCGGAUUAAGAGAUUUAUGCGUUGGUGUAAGAGAGCUGUAAAGAAGAACAAGUGGAUGAUUCCUUUACUAGUUGCAUUGAUCAUGUGGUUGAAGUAUUAUGUAUUUCCGAAAUUGAAUAAACCUACAUAUAUUAUCAACAUUUUGCAAAAUCU